CCAGUGCUCCAUCCUGCACAGGAUGGGACUCCUGCACUCAGGACAGACUUGGCAAAGGUCUGCCUAGAACUGGGAGAGAAAGGGGGCGCUAUGCUGAAUACUGGCCGGAUUAGACACCCACCACCUUUGCCCCUUCACUGACUCGCUCACCCCACUACAACCCAUAGGAAAUCCCCAACACAAACCGCUAAGGAGCCAGACUGGUGAGAUUGCCAAACAUUUAAAUGUGAAAUGAACUUCUACAGUACACCCAAGCCUUCAUAUUCUGUUAUUAUUAAACUGUAAGUCAAGAUCUCUUUUCCUCCUUUUAAAAAAUUGUUCAAACAUUAUGAUGUUUGAUAGAAUAUCAUUAACUGCACUCACUUCUUUAAAGGGAUGCUUUUCCAGCAACACAAGAGAAAUAGUGCAAAAUUCCUCAGUUCUUUUGAGUCAGUCUAUCUUAAAACAGCUCUGGCAUCCUGUCAUAAAAUGGAUUUUACUCUGACGGUGCUAAUAUUUUCCACACACAGCGUACAGCAUUUGGGCCUUAAUACAUAAACACCAACAACUUUGACAAGACUCUGAUCUUCCCAGGGCUGUUUAAAAAAAGGUAUUGUCCUACACUGUGAUCACCUGCCCCAACAACUUAGAGGCUGCAUCAUCACUCAUUAUUGUGAAUACAUAAAGGGCAUUUUAGACCUCUGUUCCCCCAAAUUAUUUGACUUGAAGAGGAACCCACAGCAGAGCAGCAGGAACCCAGCUGGAGAGGAAAGAGCAGCAUGGAAUGUUGCACUCCAUAUAUUUACCACCAGCUUCUCCACUUAUUCUCCAUACACGCUGCCUGUACAAAAUUGAAAGGAGGGUGGCCUUGCUACAGUGGACUGCCAGGGAACAGGUGGUCCAUGUGUUCCAUUUCUCUUUGUAGGCAUGCCUAAAAAACGUGUAAAAGAGGGAUUUCAUUCAUUAUGCACCAAGUGUCAUUAUCUUUCCCCUUUUAGGGGUCACUUCUUCAAAGAUCUUGAUUAGGUACCAAUAACAGCAUUGUAACUUGGAUGGCUGAGAUGUGGGGAUGAAAGAAGCAUUAAGGAGGAAGAUUCUCUGUAUAACUAGGGAGGGUUCCACUUGGUUUGAUCCUGGUUUCCUGCAGGGCCCUGACCUAUGUCCCCCUCCCUCUACAGCACAGGCACUAAUCACACCAGAAUAUGGGCUGCUGCUUCAGAAACAGUUCCUCUAAUCCUUCCCAACCCUUUGGGAAAAUGCUACCCCUUAUCUCCUCUCCAUCAUCUGGUCCCAGUAUCUUUUUAUAAUGAGCACAGAUAUGGGAAUUAUUAGACUCUGUUCUGACAAACACAUGAGUAUAACUAUGAGUUCAAAAGGACUAGUCGCCUGUGUAAAGUUACUCGUGCCUAAGUACUGAAUCAGAAUCAUAAUUCACUUGUUGGACUUUAUCUUUUAAUAAUAGCAUGGUUGCUUUAUGACAACAUUGUGGAGUGCUAUGCAAACGUGACUAACAGAAUAAAGAAUGCAUUUUUAAGGAAAGCUUUCCAUUUUCUCUGAUAUUAAAAAUGCAUGAAGAUCUCAUGUAAUCUGUUGUUGGGACAAAGCCAGAGAACAUAUGGUAAACACAUAUGGUAUUUGUAGCCUUAGCUGAAAUGAGAAACCACAAGUUACCUAACCCAUCCAGGGUAUGAAUAUAUUGCUUACAAUUUCCACACAAAUGCUUCACCAGUUUAGAAGAGCUUAUUUUACAGCUUCAGAUGAGAUGUCAUAACAACAAGCACUUGUAACUCUCUUUAUAACAAUAAAGUUACAGAUGAAAAACCAACUGCACAUUAUACAUUUUAAAAGAAUUUUGAUUUUAACUUUAAAAAGUACUUAUUAAUAUCUACCUGACAGACAUUGUACUUCUCAAUGAACUCAAUAUACUACUGUAUUAUUUAUGCUGCCAUUUAUGUUAAGAAAAAUAAACCUGAUGUGUACAUGUCAUUCCCAGACUUUCUAGGCAAACAUUAAAUUCUACUAAUUGACAAAACAUUUCUUCUUUCACUUUCCCAAUUCACACAGUGAUUGAUAUACACCACAUUCAUUUGUCUACAAUAGCAUUUGUUGGAAAAUCUCCUACUGUUGCAUCAGGAAUAGUGCAGAUCCUACAACCUCUACUGUAGCAAUGGUGACAGAGCACAGGCAUUUUUACCAUAUAGACUUGUUCCGUGUAGGAUUAGAUAACAUGGAGUUUUGAGUUAGGAAAUGGUCUGUAUUAAUACUCCCACUGUAACAACUACUUAAUGCUAGCUAGUGCAAUGGUGGGAGAUUCCCAAAAAAAUCUAGUACAGACACAGCUAUAGAGAGCUAGAUGAAAACCUAUAAAACUACCCCAAAUAAGGCUAACAGCAAGAAAGUAAAUAAAAUGUUUAAAUGGACACAUCCAUGGCAGAUGUGAAAAAGAUUUAAUAAAGAAUGAAGGGAGAUUUUUCUUUUUUUUUUUGCAUUCUAAAAAUUAUAAAGAUGAGUUCUGCAUAUGCAUUGUCUCCAGUAGAGCUAGUCAAAAUAUUUGCAUCAAAAAAAAUUUGGACAAAAAAAUUGGUCUUUUCAAAGCAAAAAUGUUGGUAGAAAAAUAAUUAAUUUGAAAUUAAAAAAUAAUUGAUGACAAAUGGAAAAACACUUUUACAACAAUUUUUUUUAAAAAUAGUGUUUGUUUUUUGAAACUGAAUAUUUUGGUUUUUGUCAAAAAGGAAACAAAGGAUCAAGAUGCCUAAGAAUAUAGAAAAUAUCUGAUGGUAUUUGGCAAGAUGUCAAGGGCAGGCAAAUAUACAUUAGCUGAAUUGAUGGGUGGCUGCAUUUCAGUACAAGACAAGGGGAUCUCUAUAUAUCUCACUGCUACCUCAUUUGUUUAUAUUGUGGUAGUACUAGAGGCUUUAAUCAGGAAGCAAGGCUAGGCUAGGCACUGUAUACACAUCUAGCAGAAAGACAGUCAUAGACUCAAGAAGCUUACAAUUUAGCUAUAUGAUGACAUAGAACAAGAGAAUAAAAACAAAUAAAGAGAGCACAAGAUAACUGAGACAAUUAUGAUAAUCUUGAUCAGAAGCAGUCAUGGCACACUAGCUGCCCAGCUACCACCCACUGUGCUGUUUUAGACAUUAUAUAAUGAUUUGUAAAGCACAUUGAAAUCCUGACAAUAAAUUCAUUAUGUAAAUAUCAGGAUUUGUAUGGAAUAGAUGUGCUUGUAUGUUGUGCUUUGCAUGUUCUGUACUUCUGUAUUUUAUCAAUGUAUGUCAGCAGAAGCUAUGAUAGUAACACAAAAGUGUAUUUCAUUCCUGUAUAUAGUUUGUAAAAUGCUUUGGUAGCCAUUGUGAAAAGAGCACAAUACUAAUGUAAGCUUAUGCUUCAGAUAAUACCACUGUUGCCAACUCUUGCAAUUUUAUCUCAAUGUGCUGUUUAUCUUAAAGCUAAAUGAGAAUCUCAACUUUCAUUAAAUAAUAAAUUGCUAGCUCUCA